rnacentral:rRNA from 1 species
CCUACGGGAGGCAGCAGUGAGGAAUAUUGGUCAAUGGGCGCGAGCCUGAACCAGCCAAGUAGCGUGAAGGAUGACUGCCCUACGGGUUGUAAAUUUCUUUUAUAAAGGAAUAAAGUGAGGCACGUGUGCCUUUUUGUAUGUACUUUAUGAAUAAGGAUCGGCUAACUCCGUGCCAGCAGCCGCGGUAAUACGGAGGGUGCGAGCGUUAAUCGGAAUUAUUGGGCGUAAAGAGGUCGUAGGCGGUAUGUCAAGUCAAGGGUGAAAUCCCCGCGCUCAACGGGGGAACUGCCUUUGAUACUGGCAGACUGGAGUGUGUGAGAGGUUAGUGGAAUUCCAGGUGUAGGGGUGAAAUCCGUAGAUAUCUGGAGGAACAUCAGUGGCGAAGGCGACUAUCUGGCACGUAACUGACGCUGAGGAGCGAAAGCGUGGGUAGCAAACAGGAUUAGAUACCCUAGUAGUC